ensembl:snRNA U6 U6 spliceosomal RNA
GUGCUCACCUCAGCAGCACAUAUACUAAAAUUUGAACAAUACUGAGAAGAUUAGCAUGGUCUCUGCGCAAAGAUGACAUGCAAAUUCGUGAAGUGUCCCCUAUUUUU